CCGCACAACUGAGCGAAAUGAUCCAGCAGCCGCGAAUCCGCUCUUAGAAUCUGAUAUGGCUCAAGAUGAACGCUAGCGGCAGGCUUAAUACAUAGCAAGUCAAGGGGCCAGCAAUGGCACCGGCGGACGGGUGAGUAACGCGUACACAACGUACCUUUAACUGGGGGAUAGCAUCUGGAAACGGGUGGUAAUACCGCAUGUGGUUGCGGGGAGGCAUCUCCUUGUAACUAAAACUUUGGUGGUUAGAGAUCGGUGUGCGUCUGAUUAGCUAGUUGGUAGGGUAGAGGCCUACCAAGGCGACGAUCAGUAGGGGGCGUGAGAGCGUGAACCCCCACACGGGUACUGAGACACGGACCCGACUCCUACGGGAGGCAGCAGUAAGGAAUAUUGGUCAAUGGAGGGAACUCUGAACCACCCAUGCCGCGUGAAGGAAGAAGGCGCUACGCGUUGUAAACUUCUUUUGGGUGGGACGAAAAUAAUCCAUUUAUGGAUAGCUGACGGUACCAUCAGAAUAAGCACCGGCUAACUCCGUGCCAGCAGCCGCGGUAAUACGGAGGGUGCGAGCGUUAUCCGGAAUCACUGGGUUUAAAGGGUGCGUAGGUGGCUUAAUAAGUCAGCUGUGAAAUGUCUGGGCUUAACCGAGGCAUUGCGGUUGAUACUGUUAGGCUUGAAUCAAGUUGAGGUGGCUAGAAUGUGACAUGUAGCGGUGAAAUGUAUAGAUAUGUCAUAGAAUACCAAUUGCGAAGGCAGGUUGCUAGACUUUGAUUGACACUGAGGCACGAAAGCGUGGGGAUCAAACAAGGAUUAGAUACCCUGGUACUCCACGCCCUAAACGAUGCUUACUAGCUGUUUAGGAUAGUAAUUUCUGCGGCGGCCCAAGCGAAAAGCGAUAAGUCACGCCAUCUAGGAGCAGUACGCCCGCAGGGAUGAAUACUCAAAGGUAGUGACGGCGGUCAGCACAAGCGAUCGAGCCAUGUGCUUAACUUCCGAAUGACAUACGCGGAAGACAAUCCCUUUACACCUU
rnacentral:rRNA from 1 species